GUGGGGAAUAUUGGACAAUGGGGGGAACCCUGAUCCAGCCAUGCCGCGUGUGUGAAGAAGGCCUUUUGGUUGUAAAGCACUUUAAGCGAGGAGGAGGCUACCGAGAUUAAUACUCUUGGAUAGUGGACGUUACUCGCAGAAUAAGCACCGGCUAACUCUGUGCCAGCAGCCGCGGUAAUACAGAGGGUGCAAGCGUUAAUCGGAUUUACUGGGCGUAAAGCGCGCGUAGGUGGCCAAUUAAGUCAAAUGUGAAAUCCCCGAGCUUAACUUGGGAAUUGCAUUCGAUACUGGUUGGCUAGAGUAUGGGAGAGGAUGGUAGAAUUCCAGGUGUAGCGGUGAAAUGCGUAGAGAUCUGGAGGAAUACCGAUGGCGAAGGCAGCCAUCUGGCCUAAUACUGACGCUGAGGUACGAAAGCAUGGGGAGCAAACAGGAUUAGAAACCCGAGUAGUCC
rnacentral:rRNA from 1 species